UACGUAGGGGGCUAGCGUUGUCCGGAAUCAUUGGGCGUAAAGAGCGUGUAGGCGGCCCGGUAAGUCCGCUGUGAAAGUCGGGGGCUCAACCCUCGAAUGCCGGUGGAUACUGUCGGGCUUGAGUACGGGAGAGGCGAGUGGAAUUCCUGGUGUAGCGGUGAAAUGCGCAGAUAUCAGGAGGAACACCGAUUGCGAAGGCAGCUCGCUGGAACGUUACUGACGCUGAGACGCGAAAGCGUGGGGAGCAAACAGG
rnacentral:rRNA from 1 species